GCUUGUCUCAAAGAUUAAGCCAUGCAUGUCUUAGUGUAAAUAACUCUUAUGAAACUGCGAAUGGCUCAUUAAAUCAGUUAUCAAAUACGUGAUGGUCGCCUACUACAUGGAUAACCGUAGUAAUUCUAGAGCUAAUACAUGCACAAAGGCCCACUCACGUGGGUUGUGAUUAUUAGAUUCAAACCGGCCUCGUUCUGGUGAUUCAUAAUAACUUUUCGGAUCGAUGCAUCAUUCAAGUUUCUGCCCUAUCAGCUUUGGAUGGUAGGGUAUUGGCCUACCAUGGCUUUAACGGGUAACGGAGAAUUAGGGUUCGAUUCCGGAGAGGGAGCCUGAGAAAUGGCUACCACAUCCAAGGAAGGCAGCAGG
rnacentral:rRNA from 1 species